rnacentral:rRNA from 1 species
AUGGAUUCCAUCUUGGCGAAUGAAACUUGGGAGAUAACUGAUCGUCCUUAUGGGUGCAAACCUAUAGGAUGCAAAUGGGUAUUCAAGAAGAAGCUUAGGCCUGAUGGUACUAUCGAAAAGUACAAGGCUCGGCUCGUGGCUAAGGGUUAUACCCAAAAGGAAGGUGAAGACUUCUUUGAUACUUACUCAGCUGUGGCUCGACUGACCACUAUUCGAGUUCUACUUUCACUAGCUGCCUCACAUGGUCUUCUCGUUCAUCAAAUGGAUGUUAAGACUGCUUUCCUAAAUGGAGAGUUGGAUGAGGAAAUUUAUAUGGAACAACCAGAUGGGUUUGUAAUAGAUGGUCAGGAAGGGAAAGUGUGCAAGUUGCUGAAGUCUUUGUAUGGACUCAAGCAUGAACCCAAACGGUGGCAUGAUAAGUUCGAAAGAACUUUAACAGCUGCAGGCUUUGUUGUGAACGAAGCUGACAAAUGUGUGUACUAUCGCCAUGGUGGGGGAUGA